AAGAGCAGAAGCUGGAUGGAUGAACUUGGAACAACCUCUGAAGUGAUUACCCUGGCAAGAACAGCGAGUUCCUUGUGAGGAGGCAUUAAAGUCAGCUCAUGUGAUGCACACUUUUGGGUUCCCACUUCCCACAGGAACACAUCAGAAGACAAGGAAGAAGAUGGUUUGUACUGGUGAAUCUCUGCUGAGGAUGGAAGGAGCCAAGAACUUCCAUAACUGCCCUUACAAAGGAUUCCCACCGAGCUUUGUUUUGUGUGACUGUGGAAAAAGAGGUGGAUUUGUGUUGCCUGCAAGCUCAUCCCAGCACUGCUGAGCGCUUUGUUUAUCCAUUCUCCAGAAAAGAUGUGCUGUGCUGUCAUGUUUGAUUGUUAGGAGGUUUUGUGAGGUCUCUGCUGCAAUGACUUUAGGGUUGUUCUGUCCUGAGGCAGGAACACCAAGGCUCUCCUGAGCUCAGCUCAACGCUGAGCUGCCGUGAACUGAACUCUUCAGCGUGCAGGGAACUGUCCCAGUGAGCAGAGCUGUGCUCAUUUACUCCCUGCAGAGAAAUCACAUUUGCUCUCCACAGCAUUUUCUCUUGGGAGGACCAGUUACUGGCUUGUGUCACAGGCAGCCUGCCGCUCCUCAGUGAUUUAUUCCUCCAGGCACACACCGAUCCCUUUCACCGCUCAGGGAUCCAAAUUCCACUCCCCAUCCACUGCAGGAGUGUGUGGGGCUGUGAGCACAGAAAUUGCUCUUGAGUAUCAGUUCCAGUUCAUCUGGUUUUGUUUCUGGUGCAGUGCUGCAGAGUGUUGAGUGUACAAACACACACGUGCUUGCAGGGAUAAAAGGCCUCAGCAGCCUCCUGUAUUCAUUAGCUGACCCAAAUUCUGCCCAGACUUGCAGAGCCUGUCAGGAUAACCAGAAUAGCAGUAGAUAAUCAGGAUGGCAAAAUUCCCCUUCUUCCUUUACCUGCUGCAGCUGGUUUGAGGGCAGUAUAUUUCUAUAAAUAAUAGACAGUAUUCUAUUAGCCUACACAUUAUUAUGCAUAGGGUAACAUUUUUCUUGUUUUAAGGGCGAUUAAAACAACCAAAUUCAAGACAGAAAACAAGGAAUAAGAAUGAGAAAGUGAUGUCAAAAUUUGAUUGCAAGCAUAUGGGUACCUCCCCACAUCCCUUAUGGCUGUCACUGGAUUUCUCUGGUGACAUUACAUUUGUUUCCCUCCUGGAAUUCAAUCUGUGUUUUCUCAUCUGAGUAAAGUUUUAGCAUUUCUGCUCUUUGUUGCUUUCUGCAGGAGCCAUUUAGGAGAUGAGCUGUGUAGGAAUGCAGUAAAAUACUGAGAUGCUCUGCUAGCUGCUGUGGUGAGCAAACCCUGUUGGCUUGGCUUAGGCCAAGUGUCACUUCAGUGUCCCCUGGCACUCAUCACUGCCUGGGACUGCCAGCCCUUUUCAGGCUCCUCCCUAUUGCAAUACAGCUUAUCCAGGCUGGAGCAGGAGAAGGAAAAGAAAUAAUUCAAAAAUAAUCCAGAAGAACGGGGAGGUAACCCACUAUGGACCCUGACUCAUGGGUUUUUUAGCCUUCCUGGUUAAAUAUACAAAGCCAAGGGUUCUGGUGCCUUGCACAGUACAUUAAACAGCUUAAUCACACUGUCCUCUCUCACAUUCAUAAAUUUAGUGUUUGUUCUCCUGAAGCAGCUGUUUUCUUCUCUUGCUCUACUUUAGCUCUUCUUCAGAAUACAAAUUCCAGCUCAUUUCCAUUUUUUUUCCAGACCUAACACUUUAAAGUUUGGUUUUUAACCCUUUAGACCAAAAAUUGAGUUGUUUAAGGACCACUCUUUUAUUUUUCAAAUAAAAUAUUCCUUUGCUGUUAAAUAUUUCCCA
ensembl:lncRNA